CGAGUUGAUGAAUUAUAAAGUAAAUGUGACAUAAUAGGGUCAGAGGACACUUGACUUCACCAAACAGAUGCUCAGGGUCUUCAACUUUGUAGAACUCGAAGAACUGGGUCAUUUGGUCGCCGAAGCUUGACCGUCGAUUCAUCGAAGCUCAAAAAUGGAUCGCACUCUAUUCGCGACGCACAGCGAAUACAAACAGCCACAAACAAACAACCAUAUAUAUGCAUAAGAACAUUACUCCAUUCAAGUAAAACAUAAUAAAAUACACAAAAUAAAAUAGAGUGUGUUACUACGGUCACACGAGGACAAAGAAACGCGACGGUCGAGGCUACGGUCGAGAGGUUAUCGCGUCCACACUACACGAGUAUUAAUCAUAAUAUCUAAUUCGACAUUGUCAAAUAUAAAUAUUAUACAUCAGUUAGUUCGAUUAAUGUUCUAUAUCAACAAUGUCAGUUAAUUAAGUAAUUUAAAUAAAAUGGGAGAUUCUAAGCGAGACGAAUUUAUGACGCGUGAAACAGCACGACAGCGUGCAAACGACGCACGGACACGCGCGACAUAGCACCCUGAUGACACACGAAACAGCGCGCGCGACGAGCGCGAACGCGCACGAAUCAGCACGCGACCACGGACACAUCACGCACGAACAACGCGCAGACAGCACGUGCACGACGCGCGAAGCAGCAUGCCACCGUGCGCGGAACAGCACCCGCGACAGACAAGAAUAACUGAAUAGGUGACAUGUUUAUACUAAACGAAUGUUAAAUAAAUAGAAAGUAGUUAAAUUAAUAUUAUCCAUGUUAAUAUUUAUUAUAAAAGCCCAAGUUGAACACUACACAUUUAAUCUAAUUAGAAUAUUAAUCUAAUAAAUAUUAAUCGAGUGAGCCUUAAGUUAAUUAUCUAACAUAUAUGAUUUGACGAAUUAACCUUAUUAAUAUGAGUGUUUAUAAGCGAAAAACAAUUUAUUAUCACGCGCUGACGCCGCGCGACCCACGUGAUCGACACACGAGAUACACGUGAGCAACGCGUGGCGAGACGAGCGACACACGCGAAAGGCGCGUGACAACGCGUGCGAACAGCACGCGCGAAUGACGCACAAAUCAACACGUAACCAUGUGUGAAACCGUGCGCGAUACGCGAGAAAAACUACGUAGACGUCGCAUUUAUAUUAAACAAACAUUAGAGCAAAAUAGUUGAUUUAAUACUAAUCAUAUCUACUAAUGCAUGAUUAGAAUUAUAAAUCAGACUCGAUGGAAUUAUUAUUUUAAUAACCAACAACUAAACAAUUAACUAAUUAUUUAACAUGAGCUCUAUGGAGAAAUGAUUUUAUUAAAGCGCGUGAAUAACGACUCGCGCGAACGACGACACAUGAACAGCACGCGUGACAUACGCGAACAACGCGCGCGAAACACGAUGAAACUAAAUAGUCGUCACAUUUAUAUUAAACAAAUAUUAGGGCAACACAUUUGAGUUACUAUUAAUUACGUCGACAUGGAUUUAUAAAGCGUAAGUUAACUACUAUAAAUUAGUUUAAUUGAAAAGUAUAAUUGACUAAGGUUAGUUAAACAAAAAUAUAAUUAAUUAUUUAAAAUGCGUGACAUAGUGAAACAAAGUUACCAAUGUGUAGACGAUGCUCACCUCGCAACGACAGCGGACGACCAGACUAGUCAACGGCGAGGCAUGAGAACGGCAAGAUUGCUGUUGCGUCGGGGCCACGCAGAGGACUAUAGAGUACAUGGCCACAGAAGGUCUUGCAGACCAAUGAGACACUGUCACAUGGCCACGUUUGGAGGGUAAGCAAUUCCAAACAUGCUAC
rnacentral:lncRNA from 1 species